GAAGAAUCCAUUAAGGUGUACGUCCGCGUGCGACCUUUGACCCAAGGCCGGCUGAGGACAGACGGAGACCAGGAUUUAUGUUUGACGGUGACCUCGGAUCACACGCUGCGUCUGAACUCCAAACCCAAGCCGCGAAACUUCACCUACGAUCACGUGGCGGACGUGGACGCGGCUCAGGUGAGAGGAGCGAAAGCGAAGAGUGAAUCAAACAAAACACCUACAACAAAUAGUCUAAAAGAGUCAACUCACUGAAGUGAAUCAUACCGGCGAGUUCAGAAUACAUGUUCUCCUUAGUCGCUAAAAACAUCGUGGAGUCGUGCACGCAUGGUUACAAUGGCACGAUAUUCGCAUAUGGACAGACGGGUUCAGGGAAGACCUUUACCAUGCUGGGGCCGAACGAGCUGACGGAUUUCUCUGAUCAGCUGUGUGGUGUUAUUCCUCAUAGCAUUGAGCAUUUGUAAUCCCUCAUGAG